GGGUCAGUAGGUUGGUUAUGCCACUGGUAUGUACUGGUCUCACUGAUUCCUCCUCCUGAUGAGCCGUAAUGCCAUUUAUUUGGUGUUGUGGGGAAUCAGGACUGUUACUUUGAAAAAAUUAGAGUGUUUAAAGCAGGCUCACGCUUGAAUACAUUAGCAUGGAAUAAUGAAAUAGGACGUUUGAUUCUAUUUUGUUGGUUUCUAGGAUCGACGUA
rnacentral:rRNA from 1 species